UGAGUAACGCGUGGGUGACCUGCCCCAUACCGCCUUAUAACAGCUGGAAACGGCUGCUAAUACCGUAUAAGCGCACAGAGCUGCAUGGCUCAGUGUGAAAAACUCCGGUGGUAUGGGAUGGGCCCGCGUCUGAUUAGGCAGUUGGCGGGGUAACGGCCCACCAAACCGACGAUCAGUAGCCGGCCUGAGAGGGCGACCGGCCACAUUGGGACUGAGACACGGCCCAAACUCCUACGGGAGGCAGCAGUGGGGAAUAUUGCACAAUGGGGGAAACCCUGAUGCAGCGACGCCGCGUGAGCGAAGAAGUAUUUCGGUAUGUAAAGCUCUAUCAGCAGGGAAGAUAAUGACUGUACCUGACUAAGAAGCCCCGGCUAACUACGUGCCAGCAGCCGCGGUAAUACGUAGGGGGCAAGCGUUAUCCGGAUUUACUGGGUGUAAAGGGAGCGUAGACGGCAAGGCAAGUCUGAUGUGAAAACCCAGGGCUUAACCCUGGGACUGCAUUGGAAACUGUCUGGCUCGAGUGCCGGAGAGGUAAGCGGAAUUCCUAGUGUAGCGGUGAAAUGCGUAGAUAUUAGGAAGAACACCAGUGGCGAAGGCGGCUUACUGGACGGUAACUGACGUUGAGGCUCGAAAGCGUGGGGAGCAAACAGGAUUA
rnacentral:rRNA from 1 species